rnacentral:rRNA from 1 species
GACGAACGCUGGCGGCGUGCUUAACACAUGCAAGUCGAACGGAAAGGCCUGCUUUCCCUUGUGGAUUGCGGGUACUCGAGUGGCGAACGGGUGAGUAACACGUGAGUGAUCUGCCCCCAACUUGGGUAUAAGCCUGGGAAACUGGGUCUAAUUCCCGAUAGGACUGCAGGGUGGUGCCUGUGGUGGAAAACGAUUUUCUAGUGGUUGGGGAUGAGCUCGCGGCCUAUCAGCUUGUUGGUGGGGUAAUGGCCUACCAAGGCGGCGACGGGUAGCCGGCCUGAGAGGGUGGACGGCAAAAGUGGGACUGAGAUACGGCCCAGACUCCUACGGGAGGCAGCAGUGGGGAAUAUUGCACAAUGGGCGGAAGCCUGAUGCAGCGACGCCGCGUGGGGGAUGACGGCCUUCGGGUUGUAAACUCCUUUCGACCGAGAGGAAGCCACCUGGUUGGAAGGGUGGUGACGGUAGUGGUAGAAGAAGCACCGGCUAACUACGUG